CCUACGGGAGGCAGCAGUGGGGAAUAUUGCACAAUGGGGGAAACCCUGAUGCAGCGACGCCGCGUGGGUGAAGAAGUAUUUCGGUAUGUAAAGCCCUAUCAGCAGGGAAGAAAAAUGACGGUACCUGACUAAGAAGCACCGGCUAAAUACGUGCCAGCAGCCGCGGUAAUACGUAUGGUGCAAGCGUUAUCCGGAUUUACUGGGUGUAAAGGGAGCGCAGGCGGCACGCUAAGCCUGAUGUGAAAACCCGGGGCCCAACCGCGGGAGUGCAUUGGGAACUGGCGAGCUGGAGUACCGGAGGGGCAGGCGGAAUUCCUAGUGUAGCGGUGAAAUGCGUAGAUAUUAGGAGGAACACCAGUGGCGAAGGCGGCCUGCUGGACGGAGACUGACGCUGAGGCUCGAAAGCGUGGGGAGCAAACAGGAUUAGAUACCCGGGUAGUC
rnacentral:rRNA from 1 species